AGCGAACGCUGGCGGCAGGCCUAACACAUGCAAGUCGAACGAACCUUUCGGGGUUAGUGGCGGACGGGUGAGUAACACGUGGGAACGUGCCUUUAGGUUCGGAAUAACUCAGGGAAACUUGUGCUAAUACCGAAUGUGCCCUUCGGGGGAAAGAUUUAUCGCCUUUAGAGCGGCCCGCGUCUGAUUAGCUAGUUGGUUGAGGUAAUGGCUCACCAAGGCGACGAUCAGUAGCUGGUCUGAGAGGAUGAUCAGCCACAUGGGGACUGAGACACAGCCCAAACACGAGGGGAGGCCAGUAGUGGGGAGUCGGGCGAGGUGGGCGACAGCAGGACGCGGCAAUGCAGCAUGAAGGAUGAAGGUAGGAGGUGUGAAAAAUUCUUUGAGCGGAGACGAGAAAGACGGUAACGGGAGAAGAAGACCCGGCGAACUUGCUGCCAGAAGCCGGAGAAGAAACGGAAGAGAACCCGUCUGAAC
rnacentral:rRNA from 1 species